rnacentral:rRNA from 1 species
ACAACAGGGAUUGCCCUAGUAACGGCGAGUGAAGCGGCAACAGCUCAAAUUUGAAAUCUGGCUCUUUUAGAGUCCGAGUUGUAAUUUGCAGAGGGCGCUUUGGCUUUGGCAGCGGUCCAAGUUCCUUGGAACAGGACGUCACAGAGGGUGAGAAUCCCGUACGUGGUCGCUAGCUAUUGCCGUGUAAAGCCCCUUCGACGAGUCGAGUUGUUUGGGAAUGCAGCUCUAAAUGGGAGGUAAAUUUCUUCUAAAGCUAAAUACUGGCCAGAGACCGAUAGCGCACAAGUAGAGUGAUCGAAAGAUGAAAAGCACUUUGGAAAGAGAGUCAAACAGCACGUGAAAUUGUUGAAAGGGAAGCGCUUGCAGCCAGACUUGCUUGCAGUUGCUCAUCCGGGCUCUUUUGCCCGGUGCAUUCUUCUGCAGGCAGGCCAGCAUCAGUUUGGGCGGUGGGAUAAAGGUCUCUGUCACGUACCUCUCUUCGGGGAGGCCUUAUAGGGGAGACGACAUACCACCAGCCUGGACUGAGGUCCGCGCAUUUAUGCUAGGAUGCUGGCGUAAUGGCUGUAAGCGGCCCGUCUUGAAACACGGACCAAGGAGUCUAACAUCUAUGCGAGUGUUUGGGUGUCAAGCCCGAACGCGUAAUGAAAGUGAACGGAGGUGGGAACCCGCAAGGGUGCACCAUCGACCGAUCCUGAUGUCUUCGGAAGGAUUUGAGUAAGAGCAUGGCUGUUGGGACCCGAAAGAUGGUGAACUAUGCUUGAAUAGGGUGAAGCCAGAGGAAACUCUGGUGGAGGCUCGCAGCGGUUCUGACGUGCAAAUCGAUCGUCAAAUUUGGGCAUAGGGGCGAAAGACUAAUCGA